rnacentral:rRNA from 1 species
ACAUGCAGUCGACGAUGAACCUCACUUGUGGGGGGAUUAGUGGCGAACGGGUGAGUAACACGUGAGUAACCUGCCCUUAACUCUGGGAUAAGCCUGGGAAACUGGGUCUAAUACCGGAUAUGACUCCUCAUCGCAUGGUGGGGGGUGGAAAGCUUUUUGUGGUUUUGGAUGGACUCGCGGCCUAUCAGCUUGUUGGUGAGGUAAUGGCUUACCAAGGCGACGACGGGUAGCCGGCCUGAGAGGGUGACCGGCCACACUGGGACUGAGACACGGCCCAGACUCCUACGGGAGGCAGCAGUGGGGAAUAUUGCACAAUGGGCGCAAGCCUGAUGCAGCGACGCCGCGUGAGGGAUGACGGCCUUCGGGUUGUAAACCUCUUUCAGUAGGGAAGAAGCGAAAGUGACGGUACCUGCAGAAGAAGCGCCGGCUAACUACGUGCCAGCAGCCGCGGUAAUACGUAGGGCGCAAGCGUUAUCCGGAAUUAUUGGGCGUAAAGAGCUCGUAGGCGGUUUGUCGCGUCUGCCGUGAAAGUCCGGGGCUCAACUCCGGAUCUGCGGUGGGUACGGGCAGACUAGAGUGAUGUAGGGGAGACUGGAAUUCCUGGUGUAGCGGUGAAAUGCGCAGAUAUCAGGAGGAACACCGAUGGCGAAGGCAGGUCUCUGGGCAUUAACUGACGCUGAGGAGCGAAAGCAUGGGGAGCGAACAGGAUUAGAUACCCUGGUAGUCCAUGCCGUAAACGUUGGGCACUAGGUGUGGGGGACAUUCCACGUUUUCCGCGCCGUA